rnacentral:rRNA from 1 species
AGUGAACGCUGGCGGUAGGCCUAACACAUGCAAGUCGAACGGCAGCACAGUAAGAGCUUGCUCUUACGGGUGGCGAGUGGCGGACGGGUGAGGAAUACAUCGGAAUCUACUUUUUCGUGGGGGAUAACGUAGGGAAACUUACGCUAAUACCGCAUACGACCUAUGGGUGAAAGCAGGGGAUCUUCGGACCUUGCGCGAUUGAAUGAGCCGAUGUCGGAUUAGCUAGUUGGCGGGGUAAAGGCCCACCAAGGCGACGAUCCGUAGCUGGUCUGAGAGGAUGAUCAGCCACACUGGAACUGAGACACGGUCCAGACUCCUACGGGAGGCAGCAGUGGGGAAUAUUGGACAAUGGGCACAAGCCUGAUCCAGCCAUACCGCGUGGGUGAAGAAGGCCUUCGGGUUGUAAAGCCCUUUUGUUGGGAAAGAAAAGCAGCAGGUUAAUACCCCGCUGUUCUGACGGUACCCAAAGAAUAAGCACCGGCUAACUUCGUG